rnacentral:lncRNA from 1 species
UCUAUCUUUAAAUUCGGUUUAAGUUUCCUAUUAUAAGUUUGCUAUCAGUUUGCUAUCAGUCUUUUGUAAUAAAUGCCUCAAGAUCAAUAAAGAGUAUUAUUAUUAUUAUUAUUAUUAUUAUGUCUUGUGUGUCUCCACUUUAUUUUUGUGCAAGAAAGCAGAAAACAAGUAUGGGGGAGAUCCCUCGACAUGCCAAACACACUCCAACUACACCACUCCACCACUCAGGUACACACUCUGCACACUUUACUUUACACAUACAUUUAUUCUGGAUUAUGCAGAUUACUGUUUCCGACAUGAUAAAAUAAAAAGAUUAAAAUAUUUCUAAUCAUGAUUAAUCUCAAUCUGUGAUAUUUCCUGAAAACUUGCAAUUAUUAUAAAAUCAUUUUAAAACCCUGUGUUACUUAAGUCAUUAUGGAAUAUGUGAUGGUAGAGUAUGAGUUUCUUAUUCUUGAUAUCAUUGUUGCUUGGAGAAUUUAUUUCAAAAUAUUCAAAAUUAUAGCUACCAUCCUCAGUGUUUUAUAUGCCUGAUAAGACUGAAAAUUUUAAUUAUGAUUAUAAAAGCUAUCUGCUCUGUAUUGAGUUUGUUCAGAAUGAGUUAGACCCUUGUUGAGAGAUUUAUCAUGCUCCCAAGAUCAAGACACUAUUUCAGUAAGAUUCACUCUUCCGAAGUAUUAUUGCAUUAGAGGCAUGGGCUAUGCAAAAAUAGAAGAUAUUUCGAGGAAAUAAAAAGGAGCAAGUGCUCGACAACCUCGCAGAAAAAAUGGACAAGUGUCCGGCAGUAGAAUUAGGGGUACCUCGGUAUCCACUUAAAAAAAAAGAGAGAGAAAAAAGAAGAAAAAUGAUAGCCCAUGGUCCCUCUAAUAAGCAAUAUGCCAGCAAGAGAUGACAAAGUUUUUAAUUUCCAAAGUCUUUGAUCUAAGAGUAUGACAUUCCCCUCCUCGGAUCCCGUUUUGAUCAGGCAAUAAAUGCAUAAGUAUGCUUGAGAAUUUUUGCAAAAUUAAAACAGCCUCAGUGAGAUAUAUAUACAAAAGAUAAUGAGUGAUCUGAGAGAACCUAUGAGGAUCAAAAGGUAUGCUAACUUUCUUUCAAAAAUAUACAAAAACUCCAAGUGGCAGGAUUGAGAAGAAAGGAUCUUUACUCUUAACCAUAUACAUCCCUGACUAUGGUACACAGUGGAUUUUUAACACCCUGCAAAUAUAAAGAAUGUUUUAAAUAUUUACCCCAGAUAUUGUUCUUAACCAUCCUUUUCUCGAGGACGAGUAAAAGCCUAAGUAUGGGGGUAUUUCUUGACGGUUCUUAAGUAUCAAUUUUAAUUAUCAAAUAAACAUGAGAAAGGACCAAUAUGCAACCAUCACCUAGAAUUAGGGUUUGAUCUGACAGAAUUCCACGAGUUUUGUUGUUUAUCUAUUUCUGCAGGGGGUUAUCAGGAAAUAAGGAAGAAAGGCCCACAUGUCAGGAUUACAUAGAGAUAUCAACGCACCGUGCAAUUUUACAUCAUCUAGAAGACUCUAGAAGCCACGAGACCGAAGCGGAGGCAAAGCUGGGCCAGGCCCAGGGCGCCCGCCCUGGUAGCCUGGGCGCCCGCCCCCCUGCUGGAGCCAAUUCAGGACUCCUUCGCUCGGGAUAUUCCACCGACCUAUUGGAUCAAGAAAAACAUAGUACCACCUCGGCUAUCGACCCAAAAACGCAUAGAAGGGGAGGACUAUAUAAGCGAGGCCCCCCUGGCCCCUGGAGGACAUGAAGAAAUUAUCAUAGAGACUGAGGGGUGCCCUCGAAGGAAAACCUCUUCUCUAAUUAAUAUUUCUUUUUAGGCUUAGCAAUCAAUGUAAGGUAGAAAUAUAUCUUCUAGUUUCUACUAGAUUGAGAGAGAUAGAGUGGAGGUGUAGAGUGGAGGAAGCCCGGCC